rnacentral:rRNA from 1 species
AUUGAACGCUGGCGGCAUGCCUAACACAUGCAAGUCGAACGGUAACACGCCAAGAGGUUCCUCCUACGGGUGGCGGGGGGCGUAAGGGUAAGGAAUGUAUCCCAAGCUGCUUGUUCACGGAGGAUAACGUGUGGUAAUACCUCAUACGACCUAAUAUGACCAACGGGUGAACGAACCGGAGAUUUUGGCCUUGCGCGUUUGGAACAGCCGAUGUCGGAUUAGCUAGUUGGCGGGGUAAAGGCCCACCAAGGCGACGAUCCGUAGCUGGUCUGAGAGGAUGAUCAGCCACACUGGAACUGAGACACGGUCCAGACUCCUACGGGAGGCAGCAGUGGGGAAUAUUGGACAAUGGGCGCAAGCCUGAUCCAGCCAUGCCGCGUGGGUGAAGAAGGCCUUCGGGUUGUAAAGCCCUUUUGUUAGGAAAGAAAAGCAGUAGGUUAAUACCCCGCUGUUCUGACGGUACCUAAAGAAUAAGCACCGGCUAACUUCGUG